rnacentral:rRNA from 1 species
UACGUAGGUGGCAAGCGUUGUCCGGAUUUACUGGGCGUAAAGGGAGCGUAGGUGGAUAUUUAAGUGGGAUGUGAAAUACUCGGGCUCAACCUGAGUGCUGCAUUCCAAACUGGAUAUCUAGAGUACAGGAGAGGAAAGUAGAAUUCCUAGUGUAGCGGUGAAAUGCGUAGAGAUUAGGAAGAAUACCAGUGGCGAAGGCGACUUUCUGGACUGUAACUGACACUGAGGCUCGAAAGCGUGGGGAGCAAACAGG